UGGGGAAUUUUGGACAAUGGGGGCAACCCUGAUCCAGCCAUCCCGCGUGUGCGAUGAAGGCCUUCGGGUUGCAAAGCACUUUUGGCAGGGAAGAAACAGCCUGGGCUAAUAUCCCGGGCGACUGACGGUACCUGCAGAAUAAGCACCGGCUAACUUCGUGCCAGCAGCCGCGGUAAUACGAAGGGUGCAAGCGUUAAUCGGAAUUACUGGGCGUAAAGGGUGCGUAGGCGGUUAUUUAAGUCUGCCGUGAAAUCCCCGGGCUCAACCGGGGAAUGGCGGUGGAUACUGGAUAGCUAGAGUGUGUCAGAGGAUGGUGGAAUUCCCGGUGUAGCGGUGAAAUGCGUAGAGAUCGGGAGGAACAUCAGUGGCGAAGGCGGCCAUCUGGGACAACACUGACGCUGAAGCACGAAAGCGUGGGGAGCAAACA
rnacentral:rRNA from 1 species